rnacentral:rRNA from 1 species
CUCUAUGCCUACACCACCCUGAACAUACUGAUCUCAUCUGAUCUUGGGAGCUUUGCAGGGUUGGGUCCAGGUAGUACUUGAAGGAGAGAGU